rnacentral:rRNA from 1 species
UACGGAGGGUGCAAGCGUUAUCCGGAUUCACUGGGUUUAAAGGGUGCGUAGGUGGGCAGGUAAGUCAGUGGUGAAAUCUCCGGGCUUAACCCGGAACUGCCGUUGAUACUAUCUGUCUUGAAUAUAGUGGAGGUGAGCGGAAUAUGUCAUGUAGCGGUGAAAUGCUUAGAUAUGACAUAGAACACCCAUUGCGAAGGCAGCUCGCUACACUAUCAUUGACCACUGAGGCACGAAAGCGUGGGGAUCAAACAGG